rnacentral:rRNA from 1 species
GUAGGUGGCAAGCGUUGUCCGGAAUUAUUGGGCGUAAAGCGCGCGCAGGCGGUUCUUUAAGUCUGACGUGAAAGCCCACGGCUCAACCGUGGAGGGUCAUUGGAAACUGGAGAACUUGAGUACAGAAGAGGAAAGCGGAAUUCCACGUGUAGCGGUGAAAUGCGUAGAGAUGUGGAGGAACACCAGUGGCGAAGGCGGCUUUCUGGUCUGUAACUGACGCUGAGGCGCGAAAGCGUGGGGAGCAAACAGGGAUUAGAUACCCUGGUAGUCCACGCCGUAAACGAUGAGUGCUAAGUGUUAGGGGGUUUCCGCCCCCUUAGUGCUGCAGCUAACGCAUUAAGCACUCCGCCUGGGGAGUACGGCCGCAAGGCUG